rnacentral:lncRNA from 1 species
UGUGAAGUGUCCUCUCUGCGAAGGUGGAUUCGUUGAGGAAGUAGACGGUGGCACCGCUACAGAUGACCAUCAUGACCCUGAUCCAGAUUUAGCAUCUGACCAUAACCUCUCCCUCUGGGAACCCAUCUUACUCAGCAUGAUGGGGAACUCUAGGCGUCGUAGAAGGUUCCGCAGAAUGGAGUUUGAAGAAGACUAUGAUUACAAUGAUGAUGGCCGUGGAGGAGGAGACACUGACCUAGACCGUGAACUUGAAU